rnacentral:lncRNA from 1 species
UUUCUUAUUCCAACUUAUUCAAUUCCACCUUAAAUUUUUCUUAUCCCAACUUUGCAAUUCCACUGUAUCUAUAAUUAUUUCCUGAUUCCUUGCAAGAGCCACUGCCUCGGCACCAUCACCCUCUUUGAUGGUUGAACCACUAUUCAUUGUACAUGUUUACGACCGCUAUUUGUUUCAGAGAUUACUGCUUGCUCAACGUUGCUUGCUGUGUCGGGAUUACCCUUAAUAGAAGUGUUCUGAUCAACAAUCACAUGUGCUAUUUCCAUAUGACCCAGAUGCAUCUUUUUCAUCAGCGGGAAGAGGACCUGGACGACUGUGGCCGUUAUUCAUUGAUAUCGCCGCCCUCAGCCUCCCAAUCUUAUUCACAGUCGAAUUUCAAUCAGGCUGGAGAAGGAGAAGAAGUCGUGAAAUUUCUCUCUCAUGUCUAAUGUUGUUAUUUGCUAAAAGAGUACAUAAAGUCGACACAUCCAAACAAAACACAAUGAAAUUGUCGCCAUUUACACACAAUUGCUCUUGAAAAAGCAAUGAAAGAAGGAAAGAUUUUGACAGAUAUUUUUUCGCCGUAAUGAAACUUGUAUUUUCUGUUAAUAUAUUAUAAUGUAUUUCAAU